rnacentral:lncRNA from 1 species
AGGCAGAGUCCAGAGCUCAAACAGGGGGAGGAGACGUGGCAGCUGGCACCCAUGGCAUGAUCAGUGGCAGGGACGGACCCCGCACACCGCUCGGGGCUGGGACGGACCCCACACACUGCUCAGGCUCAGGGCUGGAGGUUCAGGUGCCGGACGAGGGCACUGAACAGACGGCGAUUCUGGGGGGAGGCUCCUGCUCCAGUUGGUGGCCUCUGGAGAGCUCGCAGGUUUCCCAAAGCACUGCAAGGGUUGCCAGUGACUGAGCUGAGUUCCCCUGCCAGCUCCUCGUUCCCCAAGGCAUCGGGAUCCCCUCCCAAGUUGGCCACAAGCAGCUGAGGAGGAGCAGCCCUUGCCCCGUGCGUUUACCCUCGGCUGUACAACCACUUCCUGCAUGCACACACAGCAGGCAGCACGCACACACCGGGUGUGUCAGCGACCCUCAUCGUGACCAUCAUCAGCCUUGUUACUGCUGUGGGGGGAGCACAGGAGACUUUGGCAAACCUCGCUCAAAAUCCCUUAUUCUUCUUUCAGGCUUCCCCUCGGAGUGGGCUCAAAUUUGGCAGACACUCAGAUGAAAGGUGAGCGCCUUACCCACUCGUGCAGGCAGCCAGAGCCUGGCCAAGCUUAGAGUCCCAUGGUUGCAGAGCCACAGAGUGGCUGCCCCCAGCCCCAUCCAGCCUGGCCUUGGGCACUGCCAGGGAUGGGGCACCCACAGCUCCUGGGGGCAGCCUGCGCCAGGCAUCACCACCCUCAUAGUAAAGAAUUUCUGCCUCGGAUCUAACCCAAACCCACCCUCUUCUACCUUAAAGCCGUCACCCCGUGUCCUAUCCCUACACCCCUUGCCCAAGAGUCCCUCCCAGCCCUCCUGCAGCCCCUGCAGGCACUGAGGGCCACUGUGAGGUCUCCCCACAGCCUUCUCCUUUAGCAGCCUCCUCAUUCAGUCAGCCGGGUGCAGUGCUGCUGAGGGUGAGGCUGGGUUUGCGUCCUCGUGCAGCCUCACGCACACUUGUGCACGCGGUGUGUGGGCCCUCUGGGGAGGCCACGGGCUCGAGGAUUUCCCGAGGCUGCCUCUCCUCUUCCCACUCCUUAGGCUGUGCUGUGCCAGGCUCAGGGCACAUGGGGCAGCAGCCGUUGGUUACAGCCGGAGGCACAGCGCAGGAUGCAAAGUCCUGCCCCAAAACCUCGCUAUCUGUGUGCCUGAGCCAGCUCUGGCCCUGCUGGGGCCGUGCAGGGCAGGCCAAAGGCCUGCAGUGAUCCACCACAGAAUCCAGUGGGUUUUUUUUUUGCUCAGCACCUGACUUCUUGUAAAGGGAGUGCUUCAG